rnacentral:rRNA from 1 species
AACGAACGCUGGCGGCAGGCCUAACACAUGCAAGUCGAGCGCCCCGCAAGGGGAGCGGCAGACGGGUGAGUAACGCGUGGGAAUCUACCUAGUGGUACGGAAUAACCCCGGGAAACUUGGAGUAAUACCGUAUACGCCCGAAAGGGGAAAGAUUUAUCGCCAUUAGAUGAGCCCGCGUUGGAUUAGCUAGUUGGUGGGGUAACGGCCCACCAAGGCGACGAUCCAUAGCUGGUCUGAGAGGAUGAUCAGCCACACUGGGACUGAGACACGGCCCAGACUCCUACGGGAGGCAGCAGUGGGGAAUAUUGGACAAUGGGCGCAAGCCUGAUCCAGCCAUGCCGCGUGAGUGACGAAGGUCUUCGGAUUGUAAAGCUCUUUUGGCGGGGACGAUAAUGACGGUACCCGCAGAAUAAGCCCCGGCUAACUUCGUGCCAGCAGCCGCUGUAA